rnacentral:rRNA from 1 species
AUGCUUGUUGAAACAAAAAAGAACGAUCUUUAUGAUUUGGUCUACUUACUCAUCAAGUUGGCAUUGAUCUUACCGGUGGUGAUGAGUGUUGAAAGAGUAUAUUCUGCAAUGAAUCUAGUGAAAAAUAAAUUGAUAACUACUACGAGUGAUGAUCCCUUGAACUAUUGCUUACUGACAUUUAUUUGA